rnacentral:rRNA from 1 species
UGGGGAAUCUUCCGCAAUGGACGAAAGUCUGACGGAGCAACGCCGCGUGAGUGAUGACGGCCUUCGGGUUGUAAAGCUCUGUUAAUCGGGACGAAUGGUUCUUGUGCGAAUAGUGCGAGGAUUUGACGGUACCGGAAUAGAAAGCCACGGCUAACUACGUGCCAGCAGCCGUGGUAAUACGUAGGUGGCAAGCGUUGUCCGGAAUUAUUGGGCGUAAAGCGCGCGCAGGCGGAUUGGUCAGUCUGUCUUAAAAGUUCGGGGCUUAACCCCGUGAUGGGAUGGAAACUGCCAAUCUAGAGUAUCGGAGAGGAAAGUGGAAUUCCUAGUGUAGCGGUGAAAUGCGUAGAUAUUAGGAAGAACACCAGUGGCGAAGGCGACUUUCUGGACGAAAACUGACGCUGAGGCGCGAAAGCCAGGGGAGCGAACGGG